rnacentral:tRNA from 1 species
GCCUGGGUAGCUCAGUCAGUUGAGCGUCCGACUUUGGCUCAGGUCAUGAUCUAACGGUUCAUGGGUUCAAGCCCCAUGUCGAGCU